ACUCAGUGGUCAAAAUACCACUGCUGAUCAGAAGCACGUUUUUGGAAUUGUCAGUGCUUUUGUUGUUGUACCAUCUGGAGGCAUCCAGCAUAUGGCCCAGAGAGGAUCAGCUUUUCAGCCUUUAAUGUAAAGCCUUUCCAUAGACUUGGGCUAAUUGUAAGAAGCAUAAGUCUUUUGACACAGAAUAGGAAGAGCACAGAAAAAAACCAGUAAUUUCUCUAUUUUUCUACAGGGUCAGAGCACCAUAGGAAAAUUCAGUUUGGAAGAGACCUCAGAAGGGUUCUACCCCAACCUUUAGCUCACAGCAGGGCCAACUCUGAUGUGAAGUGAGGUUGCUCAAGGCUGGUUGUGUCUCACUAUGUCAUGAAAACCUCCAAGGAUGGAGCUCGGAGGCUGCUUUCCAGGUAGCUUAUUUUAUUACUUUACUGUAUUCAUGGUGAAAAUGCUUUUCCUUAUCUCUUCUCUUGUUCCAGUUUAGGUCCUUGCCUCUCAUCUUCCAACCAAUGUGCUGCUGCGAAGAAUCUGGAUUAGUCUUCUUGAUUACUACCCCAUAGUUAAAAAAAAAGGCAAAGGAAGAAGAAUUUUUCAGCUAAACACCAAGCUAUCCUGAAAUCAGAGAUGCUGCUUUUUGUCUUUGAGGUUGCUGAAAUGAGUAAAUGGCGUCUGCAUCAGGUGUAUUAUCAGAGUUGUGGAGAUAUGACAGUCCAAAGCAUGAGUAAAGUGUCCGCAAAAAUACUGCAAUGGUAUCACAUGCAUAAAGUACUAGAAGACACUGGAAGGAAAUUUCUAACUAUCAAAGAAGCAAGAUUUUGAAACAACUUUUUGAGGGAACAAGGAAAAAAAUUAGUCACCUUUAAAAAAGAUUUAUAAUCAGCCUAAAUUAAGGAGUAUUAAUCUUGCAAUAAAAGAAGACAAAAUG